rnacentral:rRNA from 1 species
ACUCAAAUGAAUAGACGGGGGCCCGCACAAGCGGUGGAACAUGUGGUUUAAUUCGAAGCUACGCGAAAAACCUCACCAGGGCUUGACAUAUAGGAAGUAGUGAACUGAAAGGGGAACGACCUGUCAAGUCAGGAGCCUAUACAGGUGCUGCAUGGCUGUCGUCAGCUCGUGUCGUGAGAUGUUGGGUUAAGUCCCGCAACGAGCGCAACCAUUAUCAUUUGUUGCCACUUCUUUCUAGCUUGCUAGGAAGAAAGCACUCUAAUGAGACUGCCUGGGAUAACCAGGAGGAAGGUGGAGAUGACGUCAAGUCAGUACGGCCUUUAUGCCCUGGGCGACACACGUGUUACAAUGGGUAGGACAAAGGGUUGCCAACCCGCGAGGGGGAGCUAAUCUCAAAAACCUACCCUCAGUUCAGAUUGGAGUCUGCAAUUCGACUCCAUGAAGCCGGAAUCGCUAGUAAUGGUAGAUCAGCAUGCUACCGUGAAUACGUUCCCGGGCCUUGCACACACCGCCCGU